rnacentral:rRNA from 1 species
CGGUAAUUCCAGCUCCAAUAGCGUAUACUAAAGUUGUUGCAGUUAAAAAGCUCGUAGUUGGAUUUCUGCGGGGACGGAGCGGCCGGACGCAAUUUGCGUCUCGAGCUAGCGCUUUCCCCGCAUCCUGCCGCGAACCGUGCUACCAUUAGUUUGGUGGCGCUGGGGAUCGGCUCGAUUACUUUGAGAAAAAUAGAGUGUUCAAAGCAGGCCACACGCCUUGAAUAAGUUAGCAUGGAAUAAUGACUAAGGACUUCGGUUCUAUUUUGUUGGUGUUCGGGACUGAAGUAAUGAUUGAUAGGGACAGUUGGGGCGGUCUGUAUUCCAAAGCGAGAGGAGAAAUUCUUAGACCUUCGGAAGACAAACAGCUGCGAAAGCGUUCCGCAAGGAUGUUCCCUUUGAUCAAGAACGAAAGUUGGGGGAUCGAAGACGAUCAGAUACCGUCGUAGUCUCAACUAUAAACUAUACCAGCUAGGGAUCGGUCAACGUUUAAUUAUUCGACUUGAUCGGCACCUUAUGAGAAAUCAAAGCAUCUGGGUUCCGGGGGGAGUAUGGUCGCAAGGCUGAAACUUAAAGGAAUUGACGGAAGGGCACCACCAGCCGUGGAGCCUGUGGCUUAAUUUGACUCAACACGGGAAAACUUACCAGGUCCAGACAUAGUAAGGAUUGACAGAUUGAUAGCUCUUUCUUGAUUCUGUGGGUGGUGGUGCAUGGCCGUUCUUAGUUGGUGGAGUGAUUUGUCUGGUUAAUUCCGUUAACGAACGAGACCCCAGCCUGCUAAAUAGCGCGGCUGAGCUUUGCUCGGUGCGAGCUUCUUAGAGGGACUAUGAUGCGCGAUAGCACAUGGAAGUUUGGGGCAAUAACAGGUCUGUGAUGCCCUUAGAUGUUCUGGGCCGCACACGGGCUACACUGGCGCCUGCAACGAGCAUAUCAGCUGGCCCGAGAGGGUCUUGGCUAAUCUUUUGAACCGGCGCCGUGCUUGGGAUUGACCUUUGCAAUUGUUGGUCAUGCAACGAGGAAUGCCUUGUAAACGCGAGUCAUCAGCUCGCAUUGAAUACGUCCCUGCCCUUUGUACACACCGCCCGUCGCUCCUACCGAUGAAUGUUCCGAUGAAAUUUUCGGAGAGCGCCAGAGAACGGGGCUCUGCCUUGCAGAUCUGGAGGCUCAAAGUCACUUAAAUCUGAACUUUUCGAGGAAGGAGAAGUCGUAACAAGGUAGCCG